rnacentral:tRNA from 21 species
GGGAUAGCUCAGUUGGUAGAGCAGAGGACUGAA